rnacentral:rRNA from 1 species
UGGGGAAUAUUGGACAAUGGGCGAAAGCCUGAUCCAGCCAUGCCGCGUGUGUGAAGAAGGUCUUCGGAUUGUAAAGCACUUUAAGUUGGGAGGAAGGGCAGUAAGCGAAUACCUUGCUGUUUUGACGUUACCGACAGAAUAAGCACCGGCUAACUCUGUGCCAGCAGCCGCGGUAAUACAGAGGGUGCAAGCGUUCAUCGGAAUUACUGGGCGUAAAGCGCGCGUAGGUGGUUCGUUAAGUGGAAUGUGAAAGCCCCGGGCUCAACCUGGGAACUGCAUCCAAAACUGGCGAGCUGGAGUAGGGCAGAGGGGGGUGGAAUUACCUGUGUAGCAGUGAAAUGCGUAGAUAUAGGAAGGAACACCAGUGGCGAAGGCGACCACCUGGGCUCAUACUGACACUGAGGUGCGAAAGCGUGGGGAGCAAACAGG